CCUCGUAUCUUUACAAUGUUGU
rnacentral:misc_RNA from 1 species